GUCCAGGUCCAGCCUGUUCACUUCCUCUAGCAGACAAGCUCACAGCCCAUCUUCCAUAUAAGCUACAAGUAUGACUGGUACAAGUUCCGUGUUUAGGAAAAAGUUCCCUGGGCUUGAUGAAGAAAUAUUCCAGUAUGUUGAAGGUGUACUGGAGAAUUUGGGAGAUUUUUCUGAUGGCCAAGAGUUACAUGAUGCUAUUGGAGGCUUGCUCAUGGAGAGUGUAGGGGCUGACAAAGACACUGAA